CAGAGAGCGGACACGGCCGCCAUGAUGAAACCCUGCAUGGUCUCUCCAUGCCUUAGAGAGGUUAAAGACUCACUUUUCAAAGGACAGAAUACACUUUCCACAGGAAUGAUUCCAUGUCGAUUCUACAAAGCCAGCCGAGGAGAGGGACCCAGCAGCAGAAGACACCGAGAUACAGUGAGGGAUGAGAGGGACUUUGAUGAGGCGAUACCCCUCAUGAGAGGUGAUAGGUGCCUGGACAAAGUUGGGGCAAGUCUUCUGGGGAAGCCGACAUUCACCUGAAACCACAAGAAAUCUGUUGAAACAUGGAAUUUCGAAUCAAAUUAUAAACGUCUGAGGGAAGAAUGAAAACCUUUUCGGACAUAGACGGACUCAAAAAUAUCUUCUCCAGUCGCGUCGGAACGCGAUCCAGUUAAAUGCGGGAGGAACCAGGGAAAGGGACCAACGACAGAGAGAAAUGAGAACGGCUUCCUGGGAGUGAAAGGCCAGCAAGCAGCUCCAGACAGGAAUCACCUGGCUGUAGGUACAACCAGAGGGACCGCCCAAAGCACCGGGCUCCGCCUCCAGCAUGCCCGGUGUGUGGGGGAGGGGGCAGAGAAUAAUCAACCGGAACAGAAGUCAGGGGGUGAAAAUUUGAAGAAGGAGCCAUAGGGCGUGGGGGCAGAAUCCCAAAGACUUGGAGCAUGGAGCAGCAGAUUAAAGUACGUUCAAUAAGAAGGUGAAAGACGUACUAAGAAACUCUCCAGGGGGAAAAAAUCCUGACCUCACCGGUUACAUUCACUAUUACCAACCUCAUGGGCCUCUUGUGAGGAUUGUUAGUUAAUAACUGUUGAGUGCCUGGAAAGGACCAAAGUCAACAGAUACAAGAAAAUGAAACUUUGCUGAGUGAGCCCUUGGUGAUAGCCCCGCGGGGCCAGGGAGGAGUGGUCAGUUCCUUAACAGCUGAGAUUCAUUCAAGCCCUAGUUUGAAUCACUGAGUGCUUAGCCCUGGCUAAGGAUAUAAGUCGUACUAACUUAGAAAGCAUGCGAAAACUGUAAAUCUAUAAGACAUUAAAAAUACAGACGUUGGGGAAUAGGAAUGAAAAGAACACAAGACAUGCUGUCCGUGUCUUACACAGAGCACAGGUGGCUCAGCAGUUAAGAACACCGUGCCUCCUUGCAGAGGACCUGGGCUCGAUUCCCAGCACCCACAUGUUGGCUUACACUCCAGUUCCUGGAAUGGGGUCUAAUGCCCUCCAUAGUCACAAGACGCACACAGAGGCAAAGCGCCAUACACCUAAAAUAAAAUAAUAGUGUGGUGGUUUGAAUGAGAAUGGCCGCAGGCUCAUAUAUAGGAAGUGUGGCCUUGUUCGAGGGGGUGUGGCUUUGUUGGAGAGGUGUGGCCUUGUUGGAGGGUGUGACUUUGUGAAAGGGGUGUGGCCUUGUUGGAGGGGUGUGGCCUUGUUGGAGGGUGUGACUUUGUGAAAGGGGUGUGGCCUUGUUGGAGGGGUGUGGCCUUGUUGGAGGGUGUGACUUUGUGAAAGGGGUGUGGCCUUGUUGGAGGUGUCACUGAGGUUUGAGGUUUCAAGAGCCCAAUAUAGCCCCUGUCUCAAUGUCUCUUAGCUUUACUGCUUGCUGCUCAGAAUGUAAGUUCUUAGUAGUUCCUACGCACUAUUCUAGUGCCAUGCCCGGCUGCCUGCCGCCAUUCUCCUCGCCACAAUGGUUACGGACUUGCCCUCUGAAACUGUAAGCAAUCCUCCGAUUAAACGCUUUCUUCUACA